CCUACGGGCGGCAGCAGUGAGGAAUAUUGGUCAAUGGGCGGAAGCCUGAACCAGCCAAGUAGCGUGCGGGAUGAAGGCCCUACGGGUCGUAAACCGCUUUUGCACGGGGAUAACACCCUCCACUUGUGGAGGUCUGCAGGUACCGUGCGAAUAAGGGCCGGCUAAUUCCGUGCCAGCAGCCGCGGUAGUACGGAAGGCCCGAGCGUUAUCCGGAUUCAUUGGGCUUAAAGGGAGCGUAGGCGGGCGUUCAAGUCAGCUGUAAAAUCGCGCGGCUCAACCGCGCCCCGCAGUUGAAACUGGAGGCCUUGAGUACACAACAGGCAGGCGGAAUUCGUGGUGUAGCGGUGAAAUGCAUAGAUAUCACGAGGAACCCCGAUGGCGAAGGCAGCCUGGCGGGGUGCGACUGACGCUGAGGCUCGAAGGUGCGGGUAUCAAACAGGAUUAGAUACCCGGGUAGUC
rnacentral:rRNA from 1 species